rnacentral:rRNA from 1 species
AGUGAGCGCUGGCGGUAGGCCUAACACAUGCAAGUCGAACGGCAGCACAGUAAGAGCUUGCUCUUACGGGUGGCGAGUGGCGGACGGGUGAGGAAUACAUCGGAAUCUACUUUUUCGUGGGGGAUAACGUAGGGAAACUUACGCUAAUACCGCAUACGACCUACGGGUGAAAGCAGGGGAUCUUCGGACCUUGCGCGAUUGAAUGAGCCGAUGUCGGAUUAGCUAGUUGGCGGGGUAAAGGCCCACCAAGGCGACGAUCCGUAGCUGGUCUGAGAGGAUGAUCAGCCACACUGGAACUGAGACACGGUCCAGACUCCGACGGGAGGCAGCAGUGGGGAAUAUUGGACAAUGGGCGCAAGCCUGAUCCAGCCAUACCGCGUGGGUGAAGAAGGCCUUCGGGUUGUAAAGCCCUUUUGUUGGGAAAGAAAAGCAGCAGGUUAAUACCCCGCUGUUCUGACGGUACCCAAAGAAUAAGCACCGGCAAACUUCGU